GAUAUACUAUCGCAACUUGUGAAUUGCUCUUUAAAAACACUUGGACUUAUUUCAACUGCUCGACCAAGCUUUAUGGAUUUACCAAAGUCUCACUUUAUCUCUGCACUGACAGUUGUGUUCGUAAACUCCAAAUCCCUGUCUUCGCUUAAGAUAGAUGAUACUCCAGUAGAUGAUCCAUCUCUCAAAGUACUAGUGGCCAACAAUAGUGAUACACUCAAGCUGUUGAAAAUGAGCAGCUGUCCUCAUGUCUCUCCAGCAGAAACGUGUUCAGUUGAUCAUCAAAUACUUAAAGGACCUUGAAAGCUUGUCUGGCUCUAAUUAAAGCACAGCUACUUGGUGAUCUUAACAGAAACCUGUCCUCUCUCGGAGAAGUGCAACCUCUUCCACUGCGCUGACAGCUUUGUGGGAAGAGGGAGAACUACAGGAAACAAUGAAGAAGUCAGAAGGUGCCUGUUUACCCAAACGUGUCUGCAGCCAUGUUCCUGCAUACCCCGGUUAGAAGAACCGCUGAAGCACUAUGCUAUCAGCUUAAAAUCUAGGUGACUACAAAACCCUGGAAAGUUUGGCACAUAAACUACAUUAGGCAAGAUCAAGGAUGACAUUUGUUCUUUGAUUAAUCAUUAUCACUGCCAUUCAAUGUGACCUGCCAAACAUACACAACUUACAUCUUUACAGCAAUCCUAAAUCCUAAGAUUUAGUGAUGUUAGUAUGCUUAAAGAACACAAGCCAGUUACUAGCUAGUUCCAAA
rnacentral:lncRNA from 1 species